UGCUCCUCUGACGUUAGCGGCGGACGGGUGAGUAACACGUGGAUAACCUACCUAUAAGACUGGGAUAACUUCGGGAAACCGGAGCUAAUACCGGAUAAUAUAUUGAACCGCAUGGUUCAAUAGUGAAAGACGGUUUUGCUGUCACUUAUAGAUGGAUCCGCGCCGCAUUAGCUAGUUGGUAAGGUAACGGCUUACCAAGGCAACGAUGCGUAGCCGACCUGAGAGGGUGAUCGGCCACACUGGAACUGAGACACGGUCCAGACUCCUACGGGAGGCAGCAGUAGGGAAUCUUCCGCAAUGGGCGAAAGCCUGACGGAGCAACGCCGCGUGAGUGAUGAAGGUCUUCGGAUCGUAAAACUCUGUCAUUAGGGAAGAACAAAUGUGUAAAGUAACUAUGCACGUCUUGACGGUACCUAAUCAGAAAGCCACGGCUAACUACGUGCCAGCAGCCGCGGUAAUACGUAGGUGGCAAGCGUUAUCCGGAAUUAUUGGGCGUAAAGCGCGCGUAGGCGGUUUUUUAAGUCUGAUGUGAAAGCCCACGGCUCAACCGUGGAGGGUCAUUGGAAACUGGAAAACUUGAGUGCAGAAGAGGAAAGUGGAAUUCCAUGUGUAGCGGUGAAAUGCGCAGAGAUAUGGAGGAACACCAGUGGCGAAGGCGACUUUCUGGUCUGUAACUGACGCUGAUGUGCGAAAGCGUGGGGAUCAAACAGGAUUAGAUACCCUGGUAGCCCACGCCGUAAACGAUGAGUGCUAAGUGUUAGGGGGUUUCCGCCCCUUAGUGCUGCAGCUAACGCAUUAAGCACUCCGCCUGGGGAGUACGACCGCAAGGUUG
rnacentral:rRNA from 1 species